UGCCAAGCAGCCGCGGUAAUUCCAGCUCCAAUAGCGUAUAUUAAAGUUGUUGCAGUUAAAAAGCUCGUAGUUGAACCUUGGGUCUGGCUGGCCGGUCCGCCUCACCGCGAGUACUGGUCCGGCUGGACCUUUCCUUCUGGGGAACCUCAUGGCCUUCACUGGCUGUGGGGGGAACCAGGACUUUUACUGUGAAAAAAUUAGAGUGUUCAAAGCAGGCCUUUGCUCGAAUACAUUAGCAUGGAAUAAUAGAAUAGGACGUGUGGUUCUAUUUUGUUGGUUUCUAGGACCGCCGUAAUGAUUAAUAGGGAUAGUCGGGGGCGUCAGUAUUCAGCUGUCAGAGGUGAAAUUCUUGGAUUUGCUGAAGACUAACUACUGCGAAAGCAUUCGCCAAGGAUGUUUUCAUUAAUCAGGGAACGAAAGUUAGGGGAUCGAAGACGAUCAGAUACCGUCGUAGUCUUAACCAUAAACUAUGCCGACUAGGGAUCGGACGGGAUUCUAUAAUGACCCGUUCGGCACCUUACGAGAAAUCAAAGUUUUUGGGUUCUGGGGGGAGUAUGGUCGCAAGGCUGAAACUUAAAGAAAUUGACGGAAGGGCACCACAAGGCGUGGAGCCUGCGGCUUAAUUUGACUCAACACGGGGAAACUCACCAGGUCCAGACAAAAUAAGGAUUGACAGAUUGAGAGCUCUUUCUUGAUCUUUUGGAUGGUGGUGCAUGGCCGUUCUUAGUUGGUGGAGUGAUUUGUCUGCUUAAUUGCGAUAACGAACGAGACCUCGGCCCUUAAAUAGCCCGGUCCGCAUUUGCGGGCCGCUGGCUUCUUAGGGGGACUAUCGGCUCAAGCCGAUGGAAGUGCGCGGCAAUAACAGGUCUGUGAUGCCCA
rnacentral:rRNA from 1 species